rnacentral:lncRNA from 1 species
CAGGAUGUCCUACAAUGUUUUAGCACAGUAAUCUAAGUUGUCUCUGUAGUAUAAAAAACAGAGCAGAGUGUUUUUGGGGUUCCUCAGUUGCAGUGAGAUGUGAGGCACUUGCAGAGACUCAGUCCACCACCCUGGGCAGCUUUCACCACCCUGGGCAGCUUUUCCGAGACGUAGGGACUGGCUUGCCGUAAUUCAUAGCUUCUGCUGUCCCUUGCUACAUACCUCCUGUUUGGUCACAAACUAGGAUUGCAGCAUCUGCUUGUAGGCUCAAAAUAAAGGGAUGGAGAAAAAUCGACCAAGCAAAUGGAAAACAGAAAAGAGCAACUUGCUUCCUGAAAAUUCACGAUCCUAGAUGAAAAUGAGACCAGAAGAUGGAAGAAUCUGGAUCUCAAAAGACUCUCACUCUAUUACCCAGGCUGGAGUGCGGUGGCAUGAUCUCGGCUCACUGCAAACUCUGCCUCCCCAGUUCAAAUGAUUCUUCUGCCUUCUGCCUCAGCCUCCCAAAUAGCUGGAACUACAGCAAGGCCAACUUUUCUACCAGAUAACCCUGACCUCAUCCUGUCAGAAUUGAAUGGACCAAGAAUUGAGCUACCCUAAAAGGCCAGUUUUCUGGAAAUAGUUUGAAGAUACCGACUCAUGGUUAAAUGUUUCACAUUUACCCUCAGAAAUGAGUGCUACUGUUCAGAAACGGAGGUGCCCACUUUGCUUGUGGGAUUUAGGAGGAAAUGCCACACACUGUCAUAGAAAAAAUGGCGUCUCACUCUAUUGCCCAGGCUAGAGUACAAUAGUGCAAUCUUGGCUCACUGCAACCUCCCCCUCCCAGGUUCAAGCCAUUCUCCUGCCUCAGCCUCCCGAGUAGCUAGAACUACAAGCACGUGCACUGUACCCAGCUAAUUUUUUGUAUUUUUAGCAGAGACGGGGUUUCUCCAUGUUGGCCAGGCUGGUCUCGAACUCCUGACCUCAGGUAAUCCACCGCCUCAUCCUCCCAAAAUGCAUUAUCUCUUCCCAAAAUGCAUUAUCUAUUUCAUUAAGAAAAAGGAGAAAGCAACCAUGCUAAGCUUCAAAUAAAAGCAUGUGAGCACACCUGAUGACGCUAGACCCACUGGAAUCUCGCAUAACUCAUCCUGAACGUGUUGGGAAUCAAGUCUCUCAGGAUUAGCCCUGGUAAUCUGAAAGUCACCAGUCAUCAAGAAGUGGCAUCUCUACCAUGUGGUGCAAUCAUAGCCCUGAACUCAAAUUUCUGUCUGAUAUAUUUGAUGUGAUCCCUCCUUUUAUACCCUUUUAACUUCUGCUUGGAGAGACCCACUGACCUUGUAGCUGACUGUCAGAACUUUUCCUUGCCAGGCCAGCAAUAAAUUUGGCAUUGUUUUGGACAUUGA